rnacentral:lncRNA from 1 species
GGAUGUGAGCUGGCGAAUGACCGGCCGACAGAACACAUGCCGCCCGGGUGGUUUUCUGCACAAUCCUCGCAAUUAACGUAACACUUUUCGGUUACGAGAGAAUUACGAUGCCGCACUUCGGGGGAAGGCAAAGCGGGCCGCUUUUUUGUAACUUUCACAGGAUUACGGUUCAAAAGGUAUUGUUUCCGAGGGGCUCGUGGCAAUAAAGGUGAUUUGGGGCUAUCUGACCAUUGGCAAUUGCACAACUGCGUUCUUAAACUUAUUGCUGAGUGUUGUUCGCUGAUUUAAAGAGGGCCAUCUAUUCAGGACGUCGGCCGGUAUUUCCUUGUCUGCAGAUGGAAACAUCCCGUCCUGCGCUCAAUCCAUGUGUGAGUGGUACAUCUUGAAAAAUCCUCACACCUGUUUAUUUUAUUAUAAAAUAAAUAGAAUAAAAAAUUUAAAGAAUAAGAAAAAUUUAAAGAGGGCCUCGUGAAUAAAGAAGGAUUAAAAAAUAAUAGCAUUAGAAAAUAUUCAAAUGGGUCGAGAGAAUAUUAGCCGAAUAUGGAAAAAGGGAUAACCGCACUUGAAGGACAAUGAAACAUGUUUCUCAUAUUCCGAACCGCACGUGUACUUCGAGUAUCAUUAUAAUAAUAAAUUAACGAGUCAAAACAUUUUCCGGAACACUUGAUUUCACCAAAAAGGCCUCCGCGUGAGAGCCCGGUACAGUUGAUCCAUCACUAUUUUUCCGUUAUCAAAACGAACUACAGCACAUAUACACCAAAAAUUAGAAUGAACCCUAAGGUCUACAAAAUUAAAUUGGCGUAAUCAAGAAAGCAAAAAAACGAAGAAUAAAAUAAAAAAAAUAUGAAAAACUAGAACGGUAAAUAUCCCGCGACACGAGCACCUCGCGCGAACUAAAAGCGGCGAACACGAGAAAGACACCAAAAGAAACUGACAGAGACGCAUAGACGCCGAGAGGGAGAAAGAAGACCUGGCGAGGAUGGAAAUAAUGAGAAGAAGAAGAAGGCGAAAUAAAUGUUAAUGUUACACGAUUUCGAUUGAACAAUUAAAAACAUUCGGGCGCUCGCGAGAGGUUU